rnacentral:misc_RNA from 1 species
GAUGAAGAACGCAGCGAAAUGCGAUACUUGGUGUGAAUUGCAGAAUCUCGUGAACCAUCGAGUCUUUGAACGCAAGUUGCGCCCGAAGCCAUCAGGUUGAGGGCACGUCUGCCUGGGCGUCACAUAUCGUUGCUCGAUGCCUAUCGCAUUGCGAUAGGACUUAGGGCGAAUGAUGGCUUCCCGUGAGCGUUGUUGCCUCGCGGUUGGUUGAAAAUCGAGUCCUUGGUAGGGUGUGCCAUGAUAGAUGGUGGUCGAGUUAGCACGAGACCGAUCUUGUGCAUGCUCCCCAAAAUAUGGCCUCUGUGACCCACACGCGUCUUUUGACGCUCAUGACGAGACCUCAGGUCAGGCGGGGCUACCCGCUGAAUUUAAGCAUAUCAAUAAGCGGAGGA